CCUCCAACCAUAAUUUCAACCCAAGCGCCUGCCAGCAACCCUUUAUACACACAGCCUGUCCCACUUCUCCAUCUUCACAAAGAUGUGGUACAUUUCUAGGUUACGCCCGGGUUUUCUUUCUUCCUCUUCCUUUAUCCCUCUGAAGCCAUCUUGGGCAAACCAUUACUUCUGCCCCGGAGUUCAUCUCCAUUUCCUAGGCCUAGUCCUAAUGCUGGCCUUGUCCAGUUAUCCUCAACAUGAGUUGCAACUGGGAAAAAGGUAUACAGAAGUAAAUUUGCACGUACUGAAAUUCUACUUGCUGUCAACUUAACUAAGAAUCAAUUACUGUUCACAGACAAUUUACAGCAAAAUAAGUGACUAUAAUUCAAACACACUUUCUGAUCAAUAGCAUUUGGAGAAAACUGAUACAGUUUUAGUGCUUUUACUUUACUAUUCUACUUUCUGCUAACAUCCCAUUAACGGAAAUGGUUUUUAAACAAUAGAAUGUCUUUGUUGAACACUCUCUUACAAAUUUUCGAUAAUGUGCCCAGCUUCUGGCUGCUUCUUCAGAGACUCCUCUCCUGACCCUCCUUCCCUCCUUUUUCCCAAAGCCUCAGCUUUCAAGUCCUAGAGAUGAGUGAGCCCUGGGAGUCACAUUCAAUAGAAAAGUAUAUACUUUUCAGAGCAUAUGCUUUUCUGGAGUUCGGAAGGGAAAUUCAUUUUUAAAAUCCAAUAGUUAUUUUCUUUUUCUGUCUCUCAUUUUGAAGUUUGAUGCAAUAAUUAACUUCUGUCUUUGUUCUGAGGGAACUCAGAUCCAGCUUCAGUUCCUUGUGAAAACAGCGUUUAAAAUUUGCAAUUCCUCAUGCUACCCAGUUUUGAAUAGAAGAAUAUGGAUAUCCUAGUCGUCUUCCACAACACAGAAAUCUCUUCAUGUUUCUCCUCCUGAGGGAUAGGAUAGCUUUGAGAUAUGAAUUAAGUUUCGAAAGAAAAUAACUGAAGAAGUCGUUGAGUAAAGGAAGAAGAGCUAUAAGGGUGAAGCUGAAGCCCAAGCUUCCAGACAAAGCAUUAGUAGACAAUUCACAGACCAAAUAUCAGAUCUUUUAAUAGAAUGGGUUUUCAACCUGGGCAAAUCUCAAGGAGAGUUUUCUGUUAGUGUCCAUGGGGAAAUAGUUCUUUGUAGAUAAAGUGAAAACGUCAUAGAUUUGGAAGGAAGUUGGAAUUAGAAAGAAGCAGCUCAGAAAUGGAGAUGCUCACUUUUCCUAUACACAUUCUUUGUUCCUAUACAACCAAAGCUUUGUACUUCUGUUUAUCCAAUUGUCAAAUGAAGAUGGUGCCACAUGUUCCAACUCUCAGUCUGGAAGGGGCUAAGUGAAAAACAUGGAUGCAUUAGACAUGGGAAGUUCUAAGAAAGUAGAAGAGCUGUAUUAAUGUCAGGCAGUUUGAUGUUGUUUAACUUUUUGUCAAGUAAGUCAACCUCUCUGGUCUUAUUGACGUUUGUGGUCCUAGCCAAUUUCCUCAUGUCAGCUUCAUGGUCAUUUGCAUGUGUAUUUUUUGGUUUUACCUUCCUGUCCUUUGCCAGAUUCUGGAUGUCCCUUCUACUUUUUCCAUGCAUAAUAAAACCAAACAAAACUGUAUUUGGACCAAUAUUUUAUCCAGGAUCCCCCACCCCAAGCAGUAUUAGGGUAAAAAUACAUCAACAUUUGGAAUCUUAGAUGUCAAGAUUCUCACCAAUUUAGGCCAUUAUUUUUCAAAAUGCAACAAUGGUCAUAUUACUAUGAUGAGAUUAUAGAUAGAGCUGCCAUGUAAGAUUGCACAGUUUGUGUACUGCACAAAGGUGCCCAUCCAGGAAGUGAGGGCUAACAACUAUCCAGACCCCACUCCACCUCUGCCUGAGGGAAAAGAUGUUUUUCUGCACCUUAUGAUUGUGAAGCCAUUUACUCAAGGUGCUGUGCCUGCCCAGAGAAAGCAUCCUUUUCCAAUUUGUACAAUAGUUGCAUACAGCCUAGAGAUCUUGAUUAUUUAGAUUUUGACAGAGGGGAAGAGGGGUGGGCAUGAGUGGGUGGACAUGAG
rnacentral:lncRNA from 1 species